rnacentral:rRNA from 1 species
UUUAAAUUGAGAGUUUGAUCCUGGCUCAGGAUGAACGCUGGUGGCGUGCCUAAUACAUGCAAGUCGUACGCUAGCCGCUGAAUUGAUCCUUCGGGUGAAGUGAGGCAAUGACUAGAGUGGCGAACUGGUGAGUAACACGUAAGAAACCUGCCCUUUAGUGGGGGAUAACAUUUGGAAACAGAUGCUAAUACCGCGUAACAACAAAUCACACAUGUGAUCUGUUUGAAAGGUCCUUUUGGAUCGCUAGAGGAUGGUCUUGCGGCGUAUUAGCUUGUUGGUAGGGUAGAAGCCUACCAAGGCAAUGAUGCGUAGCCGAGUUGAGAGACUGGCCGGCCACAUUGGGACUGAGACACUGCCCAAACUCCUACGGGAGGCUGCAGUAGGGAAUUUUCCGCAAUGCACGAAAGUGUGACGGAGCGACGCCGCGUGUGUGAUGAAGGCUUUCGGGUCGUAAAGCACUGUUGUAAGGGAAGAAUAACUGAAUUCAGAGAAAGUUUUCAGCUUGACGGUACCUUACCAGAAAGGGAUGGCUAAAUACGUGCCAGCAGCCGCGGUAAUACGUAUGUCCCGAGCGUUAUCCGGAUUUAUUGGGCGUAAAGCGAGCGCAGACGGUUUAUUAAGUCUGAUGUGAAAUCCCGAGGCCCAACCUCGGAACUGCAUUGGAAACUGAUUUACUUGAGUGCGAUAGAGGCAAGUGGAACUCCAUGUGUAGCGGUGAAAUGCGUAGAUAUGUGGAAGAACACCAGUGGCGAAAGCGGCUUGCUAGAUCGUAACUGACGUUGAGGCUCGAAAGUAUGGGUAGCAAACGGGAUUAGAUACCCCGGUAGUCCAUACCGUAAACGAUGGGUGCUAGUUGUUAAGAGGUUUCCGCCUCCUAGUGACGUAGCAAACGCAUUAAGCACCCCGCCUGAGGAGUACGGCCGCAAGGCUAAAACUUAAAGGAAUUGACGGGGACCCGCACAAGCGGUGGAGCAUGUGGUUUAAUUCGAAGAUACGCGAAAAACCUUACCAGGUCUUGACAUACCAAUGAUCGCUUUUGUAAUGAAAGCUUUUCUUCGGAACAUUGGAUACAGGUGGUGCAUGGUCGUCGUCAGCUCGUGUCGUGAGAUGUUGGGU